UGCAGUCGAACGGGAUUUGAGUAGCAAUACNUUAAUGAGAGUGGCGCACGGGUGCGUAACGCGUAUGCAACCUACCUUUAACAGGGGGAUAGCUCCGAGAAAUCGGGAUUAAUACCCCAUAGUAUUAUUGAUUGGCAUCGAUUAAUAAUUAAAGCUCCGGCGGUUAAAGAUGGGCAUGCGUGCCAUUAGCUAGUUGGUGAGGUAAAGGCUCACCAAGGCGAUGAUGGCUAGGGGUUCUGAGAGGAUUAUCCCCCACACUGGUACUGAGACACGGACCAGACUCCUACGGGAGGCAGCAGUAAGGAAUAUUGGGCAAUGGACGCAAGUCUGACCCAGCCAUGCCGCGUGCAGGAAGACGGCCCUAUGGGUUGUAAACUGCUUUUAUCAGGGAAUAACCCCCCGGAUGUAUCCGGGGCUGAAUGUACCUGAAGAAUAAGCAUCGGCUAACUCCGUGCCA
rnacentral:rRNA from 1 species